GUAGAUGAUUUAUUGAUUUUGUUAGUAGGUAGAGCACUGAGUAUCUAAUACUUAUUAGAAGGGAGUAUGAAAGUACUUACUUUGGAUAUUUAAUCUCCGAAUGACUAAGUGAAAUAGAUAAGUUAUCAGACUUUUUGCGAUAAGGUGA
rnacentral:rRNA from 1 species